UUUUGUCCAGGGAUGUUUAAUAGUACAAGUUCCUCAGGUUGGCCUCUCCUCCCUACUCUAUGAUUGAAUGAUUGAUUUCAACUGGCUUGGUAGUUGAUUAUAAACAGGGUAGAGCCAGGACCGCAAACCCUUUUCACAAUUGCAGCACCUAUGGGUUUA